rnacentral:lncRNA from 1 species
AAAAAUUAGUUAGAAGGUUAUUUUAAUUAGAAAAUUAAUGUAUAUGCAAGGGGGGCUCGUUAUUAUUUGUGGGAUGAAAUUAAUUAAAAGUUGUCAUAUAAAAUUUGAUAAAAAAUUAGUUUAUGUUGACAUUUUUUAAAAUAAUAUUACAUUUUGUUAUAAAUAUAAAAUUUUGAAAGAUAAAUCAGAAGUGAAUAUAUAGUUAGUAUUUAAUAAAAUUUAAUUGUUUAUAAUUUUUAAACAAUAUUUUUUUGAAUAUAAUUUGUAAAAAGAGUAAAGCAUGUGGUUAAAAAAGAAAACACAACAAUCAAGAAACAUUAAUUGAUUGUUUCACUUGAAAAAGGAGAGAGAAAGGUAGUUGUUGACUUGUUGCAGAAAAAGAGAGCAAUUAUGACAGGUUAACCUGUGCCCUGAGGGCACAGGAUAGACAACCCG